UACGAAGGGUGCAAACGUUGCUCGGAAUCAUUGGGCGUAAAGCGCACGUAGGCGGCUUUGCAAGUCGGAUGUGAAAUCCCUCGGCUCAACCAAGGAAGUGCAUCCGAAACUGCAGAGCUUGAGUACUUAAGAGGAUCGCGGAAUUCCCGGUGUAGAGGUGAAAUUCGUAGAUAUCGGGAGGAACACCGGUGGCGAAGGCGGCGAUCUGGGUCGAUACUGACGCUGAGGUGCGAAAGCGUGGGGAGCAAACAGG
rnacentral:rRNA from 1 species